AUUGAACGCUGGCGGCGUGCCUAAUACAUGCAAGUCGAACGCAGUGGGGACGGGUGAGUAACACGUGGGUAACCUCCCAUCAGAGGGGAUAACCCUUGGAAACAGGUGCUAAACCGAUACUGAUGGAUGGACCCGCGGUGCAUUAGCUAGUUGGUGAGGUAACGGCUCACCAAGGCAACGAUGCAUAGCCGACCUGAGAGGGUGAUCGUGCACACGGGGACUGAGAAACGGCCCAGACUCCGACGGGAGGCAGCAGUGGGGAAUAUUGGGCAAUGGGCGAAAGUCUGACCGAGCAACGCCGCGUGUGUGAAGAAGGUUUUCGGAUCGUAAAGCUCUGUUGUUAGAGAAGCGGUAUCUACCCAGUAAGCCACGGCUAACUACGUGCCAGCAGCCGCGGUAAUAC
rnacentral:rRNA from 1 species